rnacentral:misc_RNA from 1 species
GGUGAAGAACGUAGCGAAAUGCGAUACGUAAUGUGAAUUGCAGAAUUCAGUGAAUCAUCGAGUCUUUGAACGCACAUUGCGCCCCCUGGUAUUCCGGGGGGCAUGCCUGUCCGAGCGUCAUUGCUGCCCUCAAGCACGGCUUGUGUGUUGGGCCUCCGUCCUCCUCCCGGGGGACGGGCCCGAAAGGCAGCGGCGGCACCGCGUCCGGUCCUCGAGCGUAUGGGGCUUCGUCACCCGCUCUUGUAGGCCCGGUCGGCGCUUGCCGACACAUCAAUCUUUUUUCCAGGUUGACCUCGGAUCAGGUAGGGAUACCCGCUGAACUUAAGCAUAUCAAUAAGCGGAGGA